rnacentral:rRNA from 1 species
GAGGAAAAGAAACCAACAGGGAUUGCCCCAGUAACGGCGAGUGAAGCGGCAACAGCUCAAAUUUGAAAUCUGGCUUCGGCCCGAGUUGUAAUUUGUAGAGGAAGCUUUUGGCGAGGCACCGACUGAGUCCCCUGGAACGGGGCGCCAUAGAGGGUGAGAGCCCCGUAUAGUCGGACGCCGAGCCUCUGUAAAGCUCCUUCGACGAGUCGAGUAGUUUGGGAAUGCUGCUCAAAAUGGGAGGUAAAUUUCUUCUAAAGCUAAAUAUUGGCCAGAGACCGAUAGCGCACAAGUAGAGUGAUCGAAAGAUGAAAAGCACUUUGAAAAGAGGGUUAAAUAGCACGUGAAAUUGUUGAAAGGGAAGCGCUUGUGACCAGACUUGCGCCUGGCCGAUCAUCCGGGGUUCUCCCCGGUGCACUCGGCCAGGCUCAGGCCAGCAUCGGUUCUCUUGGGGGGACAAAGGUCCCGGGAAUGUAGCUCCCUUCCGGGGGAGUGUUAUAGCCCGGGGCGUAAUGCCCUCGAGGGGACCGAGGACCGCGCUUCGGCAAGGAUGCUGGCGUUACGGUCAUCAGCGACCCGUCUUGAAACACGGACCAAGGAGUCAAGGUUUUGCGCGAGUGUUUGGGUGUAAAACCCGCACGCGUAAUGAAAGUAAACGUAGGUGAGAGCUUCGGCGCAUCAUCGACCGGCCCAGAUGUUCUCGGAAGGGCCUGAGUAGGAGCGUUAAGCCUUGGACCCGAAAGAUGGUGAACUAUGCUUGGAUAGGGUGAAGCCAGAGGAAACUCUGGUGGAGGCUCGCAGCGGUUCUGACGUGCAAAUCGAUCGUCAAAUCUGAGCAUGGGGGCGAAAGACUAAUCGAACCAUCUAGUAGCUGGUUACCGCCGAAGUUUCCCUCAGGAUAGCAGUGUUGUUCUUCAGUUUUAUGAGGUAAAGCGAAUGAUUAGGGACUCGGGGGCGCUUUUUAGCCUUCAUCCAUUCUCAAACUUUAAAUAUGUAAGAAGCCCUUGUUACUUAGUUGAACGUGGGCAUUCGAAUGUACCAACACUAGUGGGCCAUUUUUGGUAAGCAGAACUGGCGAUGC